rnacentral:rRNA from 1 species
CACCAGGUUGAUUCUGCCUGACGUAGACGCUAUUCCCUAAGAUUAACCCAUGCAUGUUCUUGACGAUUAUAUCUGAAAGAUGGACUGCUCAGUAAUACUCACUUUAUUUUAUGUAUACAGCAUGUAACUACGUUAAAGUGUAGAUAAUACGUGUACAGUAAGAGUGAGACCUAUCAGCUAGUUGUUAAGGUAAUGGCUUAACAAGGCAGUAACGGGUAACGGUAUUACUUUGUAAUAUUCCGGAGAAGGAGCCUGAGAGACGGCUACUAAGUCUAAGGAUUGCAGCAGGGGCGAAACUUGACCUAUGGAUUGUUUCUGAGGCAGUUAUGGGAAGUAAUUUAUAUUGUUUCAUAUUUUAAACGUAUAUGAGGUGAUUAAUUGGAGGGCAAAUCAAGUGCCAGCAGCCGCGGUAAUACUUGUUCCAAGAGUGUGUAUGAUGAUUGAUGCAGUUAAAAAGUCCGUAGUUUAUGGUUAAGAAGCAAUAUGAGGUGUACUGUAUAGUUGGGAGAGAGAUGAAAUGUGACGACCCUGACUGGACGAACAGAAGCGAAAGCUGUACACUUGUAUGUAUUUUUUGAACAAGGACGUAAGCUGGAGGAUCGAAGAUGAUUAGAUACCAUUGUAGUUCCAGCAGUAAACUAUGCCGACGAUGUGAUAUGAAUAUUCGUAUUACAUAAUAGAAAUUAGAGUUUUUUGGCUCUGGGGAUAGUAUGAUCGCAAGAUUGAAAAUUAAAGAAAUUGACGGAAGAAUACCACAAGGAGUGGAUUGUGCGGCUUAAUUUGACUCAACGCGAGGUAACUUACCAAUAUUUUAUUAUUCUGAGAGAAUACGAUUCGAGAAUGAUAAUAGUGGUGCAUGGCCGUUUUCAAUGGAUGCUGUGAAGUUUUGAUUAAUUUCAACAAGACGUGAGACCCUUUUGUAUAGACAGACACAAUCAGUGUAGGAAGGAAAGGAUUAAAACAGGUCCGUUAUGCCCUCAGACAUUUUGGGCUGCACGCGCAAUACAAUAGAUAUAGAAUCUUUAUGGGAUAAUAUUUUGUAAGAGAUAUUUGAACGUGGAAUUGCUAGUAAAUUUUAUUAAAUAAGUAGAAUUGAAUGUGUCCCUGUUCUUUGUACACACCGCCCGUCGCUAUCUAAGAUGAUAUAUGCUGUGAAAUUAGUGCAAACUACUUGAACAGUAUGUAUUAGAUCUGAUAUAAGUCGUAACAUGGUUGCUGUUGGAGAACCAUUAGCAGGAUC